CAAGUAGGUGGUCUCAUUUGUCUAGGGUGAAAUCCUUGAGCUUAACUCAAGAAGUGCCCUAGAAACGGUGAGACUCGAGUUCUGGAGAGGGUCGUGGAAUUCCCGGUGUAGCGGUGAAAUGCGUAGAGAUCGGGAGGAACACCAGAGGCGAAGGCGGCGACCUGGACAGAUACUGACACUCAACUGCGAAAGCGUGGGGAGCAAACAGGAUUAGAUACCCUGGUAGUCCACGCUGUAAACGAUGGGAACUAGGUUUGAUGGGUCUUGACCCCCGUCGAACCGGCGCUAACGCACUAAGUUCCCCGCCUGGGAAGUACGGUCGCAAGACUAAAA
rnacentral:rRNA from 1 species